GACGAACGCUGGCGGCGUGCUUAACACAUGCAAGUCGAACGGGUCUGCCCUGUUUUUUGCGGGGUGGGUCAGUGGCGAACGGGUGAGUAACACGUGAGUAACCUGCCCCUCACUUCUGGAUAACCGCUUGAAAGGGUGGCUAAUACGGGGUGUUCUGGCUGUGCCGCAUGGUGUGGCUGGGAAAGAUUCACUUUUGUGGUGUUUUGGUGGGGGAUGGGCUCGCGGCCUAUCAGCUUGUUGGUGGGGUGAUGGCCUGCCAAGGCUUUGACGGGUAGCCGGCCUGGGAGGGUGGGCGGUCCGACUGGGGAUGAGAUACGGCCCAGACUCCUGCGGGAGGCAGCAGUGGGGGGUAUUGCACAAUGGGCGGAAGCCUGAUGCAGCGACGUCGCGUGAGGGAUGGAGGCCUUCGGGUUGUGAACCUCUUUCGCCGGUGAAGAAGGUCCUGCUCUUUGUGGUGGGGUUGACGGUAGCCGGGUUAUGAAGCGCCGGCUAACUACGUG
rnacentral:rRNA from 1 species